rnacentral:tmRNA from 1 species
GGGGGCGAACGGGUUCGACCGGGUGUGAAGACGGGAUAGUGGCGCGCCCAGGUUGUCAGGUGGCCUGGUAAAAAACCUGACGCAACUUUUACAUGCCAACUCUCAGUUGCGCAUGGCUGCCUAAAAGCAGGUAGCCCGUCCUGCAGGAGACGCCCACUAUUCUGCCGGACGCUGCCAGUGGGCUGGCCGGUGGACGACGCCUGACCGUCCGCGGGCGAGAAUUCAGUCGGGCUGGAGGAAGCGGGAGCCUGUCGACCGGCGCCCGCCGACUCGAGACUCAAAAGACCGACUACGCGCGUAGAAGCUAUCCCCGAACCACCGCGGGACGGGGGUUCGAUUCCCCCCGCCUCCAUUU